rnacentral:snoRNA from 1 species
GAGAUCGUACUUCUAGGGAUCAGUCCUAUAGUACGUAUCACCAGGACGUCAAACAAAACCAUACAAUUAACUUGCGAACUGGACAAUUUAGU